UAAGUGACAUAUUGUCACACCGUAAAGUAAUAAUAAUAAUGUCUGUUCAAAUGUUGUUAUAGAAAUUUUAAAUCUAUUUUUUUAUAUACAUAAACAAAGAUAAAAUGAAUACCAAACUUUUCUGAAGCAACCAAGCAGAACGUGAUUGUGUGCGGACCAGCGGCUAUCGGCCGUACCGAUGCAGUCGGAGAGCUUCCCGAUGUUCAAGCUGGCCACACUCCUGGCCCGGCGGAUGAGCUCUCCCAUCGCCUCUAAGAUCAAGGAUAUUGCGAAGACGAACCCCCGCUUCGGCACCGCUGUGUGCGUGCGCACGGCGGAGCUAUUUCACCGCGUGGAGUGGAGUGUGCGGCUGUGGCGACUGCGGCUGGUGGGCGGAAGGAGUGCGGGGGGCGCAGCAAGCUCCGUGCUGCGAGCGCGGGUGCCGCCAUUGUCACGAGCGCGUGCCCUCGAGCUCGGCGGGGACUUGAUAGGUGAAGCAGCAAUAUUUGCUCUAGGUUCGCUGAUCGUCAUAUAUGAAGUUAACCGACAAGCAGAAAUCAAAGAAGCACAUGUAAAGUCCUAGAAAAAAAAUCAAAGUGGAUGGUGAUUCGGCUAUCGCUAGAGGAACUCAAACGAGAGGUGAUGCUGCAACAGAGCGAGAUUGAUAAACUUCACCAAAUAUUGCUUCGGCUGAGUUCGGAGGAGCCCCACACGCCCAGUGGGGGCCGAAACCGUCCGUUGCCGAGCGGGGGCCGAUAGCGUCCAUAGCCGACCGGCACCCGCCAUGGGGAAAAGUUACGUAACACAUGAUUCCAAAACCAUCACACAAGCAUUCAUAGAGAUUUGUACUGAUAUAAAAA